rnacentral:rRNA from 1 species
CCUACGGGUGGCAGCAGUCGAGAAUUUUUCUCAAUGGGGGAAACCCUGAAGGAGCGACGCCGCGUGAAGGAUGAAGGUCUUCGGAUUGUAAACUUCUGUCAUUAGAGAACUAGUAUCUGAAGAGGAAGAGACGGCUAACUCUGUGCCAGCAGCCGCGGUAAUACAGAGGUCUCAAGCGUUGUUCGGAUUCAUUGGGCGUAAAGGGUGCGUAGGUGGCAAGGUAAGUUGGAUGUGAAAUCCCGGGGCUUAACCCCGGAACUGCAUUCAAUACUGCCCUGCUAGAGUACUGGAGAGGAGAUUGGAAUUUACGGUGUAGCAGUGAAAUGCGUAGAUAUCGUAAGGAAGACCGGUGGCGAAGGCGGAUCUCUGGACAGUACUGACACUGAGGCACGAAGGCCAGGGGAGCAAACGGGAUUAGAUACCCUUGUAGUC